AGAAGAAGAAGAAGCAGUUAUAGUAGGAGAAGAAUCGAGAAGAAGUAGAAGUAGAAAAGGAAGAAAAAAAAGAAUAAGAAGAAUUAUAAGAAUUAUGAGAAUAAGAAUAAGAAUAAGGAUAAGGCGUAGUAAUAGUAAUAAUAGUAGUAGAAGAAGUAAUAGAGGAAAGAAGAAGACUCGCUCCCCUUCGGAGGCUCAUUAGAAUACUUCCGCCCUCCACCUGAGUGUCUCCAGCCUUCCGAACUUUUCUUCAGCAGGAGAAGUUCCGCCAUUUUCCCCCUGUAAGAUGUCGACACGAAGAUUGAAUGACGCUAACUGCUCUGUCGUUGGCUGCUCAGCCCAACACAGGGCUCUGCACCAGCUGCCAGCCGCAAUGCCAGAGCGCUUGAAGUGUAUUGAGGACAACCCAGCUGCAGUCCGAAGGGACCGUUGGUGAGCGCUACCCACUCACCGUCUGACUGCUUCGUCAACCCGGGCGGGUACAACGCGGGUACAACGCGGGAAUGGUACGCAGACCGGUCCUGACAGCGGGGGCUGUGCCAACCAUCCGGAGCAGGACUGCGGGCGGAGGAGUAGCAGACACAGUACGGACCCACCAAAGAGGUGCACAAUAGGAACACAGCUUUCAAUCAAAACUCUCGCAACUCACUUCAGAAGUAAAGGUCAGUGGACAGUCAGUUACUGUGAUAUGAUUUCUUAUGUUUCCGUCCAGUAAUAAGCACAGAAAACAGUGUCCUGCACCGAUGUUGGCACCUCGACUGCUGCAUUCACGACACCACUAGAGAGGCCAUGCAAGAGACCUCGUUUGGAACUGGAGGAAGAGGAGAACCCUUCUGAAGGCAGCUCAUCGUCGGACGUUGAAGAAGCGUCUGAUAGUACGUACGACCCUGCAGACUCUCCCACAGCCUCGUCUGAGUCAGCAGACCUUUCGAAGGCACGCUCGGAUGUACCUAGAGCCUGCCAUUGUGCACAGGUGGAAGGAGGCGCAGGACGCCAUGCUGGAGCAGCUCAGUCAGCAGCAGAAUGUCAUCCUUAGUGGUGACCUGAGGGUUGACUUAGCAGGUACAUAACACUGCCACACAAAGUCAGACACAGAAACAGCAGGGACAAUCCAGUCUGGAUCAACUUCACACCAGAGGUCAGUCGGUCAGAGGCAGGUUGCAGCAGAUUUCAAGUGGAGAAACAACUUUUUGUAUCCCUAAGACACACGGAUCACAGAGCCAAACCACUGCAUGACAGGGUUUCCUAGAAAAUGGAUACACCAUACAAUCAUACAUAAAAGAUAAUGUAUGUAAAAGUAAUGCAUUUGUUUUUAAAGGUCAUUCUGCCAAGCAUGGCAGUUACACAAUGAUGGACCUGCGGAGCAACACGGUUAUUGAUCUACAGCUGGUUCAAUCAGUGCUGCAAUAGAGGGGCUGACAUGGUUAACUGUGUUUCCUUUAGAAUCAGAGCAGUGAGGUUGGUGGGGGCUCCCACAUGGAGAAAGAGGGUCUGAAAAGGAGCCUUGCUCUCUUGGUGGACCAUAGUGUGACUCUGGAUAGUAUUGUCACAGACCGUCACCCCCGGGUCCAGAGGUUCCUGAGGGAGGCCAGAAUCACACAAUACUACAACGUGUGUCACAUGGAAAGAGGUUCGACUUAGCUAGAACGUGAUGGUGUAUCAUUUGUAGAAUAUUAUUAUUAUUAUUAUAUAUUAAUAUUGUAAUUAAUAUACGCUCUAUAUCUGUGAGUGACUCGUGUACACUUUAGCUGUUAUUAGGACUGUCCAAGAAACUGCUGAACAUCUCACAGUACAAGGAGUGUGAGAAACUAAAGAAGUGGCUUCGCAGUAUAAAGAACCACAUGUACUGGACGGCUGCUUCCUCUACAUCAGGGCCAGAGACAGUGGCAAAGUGGACGUCCAUCCUGAAACAUGCCCGAGACAUUCUCACCCACGGGACCCCA